rnacentral:rRNA from 1 species
UAGGGAAUCUUCCACAAUGGGUGCAAACCUGAUGGAGCAAUGCCGCGUGAAUGAAGAAGGUCUUCGGAUCGUAAAGUUCUGUUAUUAGAGAAGAACAAGUCGAGGAAUAACUGUCUCGACUUUGACGGUACCUAACCAGAAAGUCACGGCUAACUACGUGCCAGCAGCCGCGGUAAUACGUAGGUGACAAGCGUUGUCCGGAAUUAUUGGGCGUAAAGGGAGCGCAGGCGGUUGGAAUAGUCUGAUGUGAAAGCCCACGGCUUAACCGUGGAAGGUCAUUGGAAACUGUCCAACUUGAAUGCAGAAGAGGUAAGUGGAAUUCCAUGUGUAGCGGUGAAAUGCGUAGAUAUAUGGAGGAACACCAGUGGCGAAGGCGACUUACUGGUCUGUAAUUGACGCUGAGGCUCGAAAGCGUGGGUAGCGAACAGGAUUAGAUACCCUGGUA